GGGUGCCUAUAAUGCAAGUCGAACGAACUCUGGUAUUGAUUGGUGCUUGCAUCAUGAUUUACAUUUGAGUGAGUGGCGAACUGGUGAGUAACACGUGGGAAACCUGCCCAGAAGCGGGGGAUAACACCUGGAAACAGAUGCUAAUACCGCAUAACAACUUGGACCGCAUGGUCCGAGUUUGAAAGAUGGCUUCGGCUAUCACUUUUGGAUGGUCCCGCGGCGUAUUAGCUAGAUGGUGGGGUAACGGCUCACCAUGGCAAUGAUACGUAGCCGACCUGAGAGGGUAAUCGGCCACAUUGGGACUGAGACACGGCCCAAACUCCUACGGGAGGCAGCAGUAGGGAAUCUUCCACAAUGGACGAAAGUCUGAUGGAGCAACGCCGCGUGAGUGAAGAAGGGUUUCGGCUCGUAAAACUCUGUUGUUAAAGAAGAACAUAUCUGAGAGUAACUGUUCAGGUAUUGACGGUAUUUAACCAGAAAGCCACGGCUAACUACGUGCCAGCAGCCGCGGUAAUACGUAGGUGGCAAGCGUUGUCCGGAUUUAUUGGGCGUAAAGCGAGCGCAGGCGGUUUUUUAAGUCUGAUGUGAAAGCCUUCGGCUCAACCGAAGAAGUGCAUCGGAAACUGGGAAACUUGAGUGCAGAAGAGGACAGUGGAACUCCAUGUGUAGCGGUGAAAUGCGUAGAUAUAUGGAAGAACACCAGUGGCGAAGGCGGCUGUCUGGUCUGUAACUGACGCUGAGGCUCGAAAGUAUGGGUAGCAAACAGGAUUAGAUACCCUGGUAGUCCAUACCGUAAACGAUGAAUGCUAAGUGUUGGAGGGUUUCCGCCCUUCAGUGCUGCAGCUAACGCAUUAAGCAUUCCGCCUGGGGAGUACGGCGCAAGGCUGAAACUCAANGAUUGACGGGGCCCGCACAAGCGG
rnacentral:rRNA from 1 species